UACAGAGGGGGCAAGCGUUGUUCGGAAUUACUGGGCGUAAAGGGCGCGUAGGCGGCCUGUUAAGUCGAACGUGAAAUCCCCGGGCUCAACCCGGGAACUGCGUCCGAUACUGGCAGGCUUGAAUCCGGGAGAGGGAUGCGGAAUUCCUGGUGUAGCGGUGAAAUGCGCAGAUAUCAGGAAGAACACCCGUGGCUAAGGCGGCUCUCUAGUACGGUGACUGACGCUGAGACGCGAAAGCGUGGGGAGCGAACAGG
rnacentral:rRNA from 1 species